AUAGGUCAUCUGCCCAACUGCAGUCUACUGUAAGGAGUUUUCCCUCCUACAACAAAAAUAUCAGCAGGAUUCCUCUUCCUCUGCUAAGUGUCCCGCAGCCUAUGGUUCCAACCAGACGGGCGUCUUUGGGCAUUAUAAGAAUUAUUAAUAAUUCUUUUGCAAAUGUGGGUUUCUUGACUUUCAAGUGGACCACAAGGUAAAGGAGGACUUUUCUAAGCACUCUUUCUUCACACUCAGCUGGUGAUCUGAAGAGUAGGCUGUGUUCUUUCUCUCUGCCACAAUGCCAUGACCCACAAUAAUGAUGUUUCAACCAUCAAGACUUAAUCAACAGUUUUUUCAAAGGUAAAAUGUUCAUUUGGACCUGAUUUUAAUAGAGCAAUGCCCUCUUAGUAGGAGACUAAAGUUGGUUUGUUAGGCCAGAUCCUCUGCUGAUGGAACUUGUUAUCUCUCUAAGUCAAGCAUGUAGAGGAUUAGGUACAAACUUCCACGUCAUUUCCAGAAGUGGAACCAGAGUAUAUUAAGCCUCCAAGCAUUUCAGCCUGUCAGAUCUGGUGCACCUUUGCCUUUGUCCAUACUUGCUAUAAAGCAUGUAUAUAAUACAUUA